AGGAUUCCCCUAGUAACUGCGAGUGAAGCGGGAAAAGCUCAAAUUUAAAAUCUGGUAGUCUCUGGCUGCCCGAGUUGUAAUCUAGAGAAGCGUUAUCCGCGCUGGACCGUGUAUAAGUCUCCUGGAAUGGAGCGUCAUAGAGGGUGAGAAUCCCGUCUUUGACACGGACUACCAGGGCUUUGUGAUACGCUCUCGAAGAGUCGAGUUGUUUGGGAAUGCAGCUCUAAAUGGGUGGUAAAUUCCAUCUAAAGCUAAAUAUUGGCGAGAGACCGAUAGCGAACAAGUACCGUGAGGGAAAGAUGAAAAGAACUUUGGAAAGAGAGUUAAACAGUACGUGAAAUUGUUGAAAGGGAAACGCUUGAAGUCAGUCGCGUUGGUCAGGAAUCAGCCAAGCUUUUGCUUGGUGUAUUUCCUGGUUUAACGGGUCAGCAUCAAUUUUGACCGGUGGAAAAAGUUCAGGGGAAUGUGGCAUCUUCGGAUGUGUUAUAGCCCCUGGUCGUAUACAUCGGUUGGGAUUGAGGAACUCAGCACGCCGCAAGGUCGGGUUUUUAACCACGUUCGUGCUUAGGAUGCUGGCAUAAUGGCUUUAAUCGACCCGUCUUGAAACACGGACCAAGGAGUCUAACAUGCCUGCGAGUGUUUGGGUGGAAAACCCGAGCGCGUAAUGAAAGUGAAAGUUGAGAUCCCUGUCGUGGGGAGCAUCGACGCCCGGACCAGACCUUUUGUGACGGAUCCGCGGUAGAGCAUGUAUGUUGGGACCCGAAAGAUGGUGAACUAUGCCUGAAUAGGGUGAAGCCAGAGGAAACUCUGGUGGAGGCUCGUAGCGAUUCUGACGUGCAAAUCGAUCGUCAAAUUUGGGUAUAGGGGCGAAAGACUAAUCGA
rnacentral:rRNA from 1 species